AGACCCUGCAUUGAUAUUUCAAUUGGAUGCAAGAAUGGUUUUCUAUAAUAUUAUAACAAGAAAAUUAAUUAAAUAGGUUAAUGAUGGGUUUUACACGUUGCUUAACGAAUAAAUCUAUAGGAAAUUAUUGCAUGUAGAUUAAUUUUUCAAUGAUAAUUAAUAUUUAAAGUAUAUUAAUUUUUAAUAGAAAAGGCUCCAUUUUUUUAUUUUGCCCC
rnacentral:lncRNA from 1 species